rnacentral:lncRNA from 1 species
GGCCUGUGCGGCUGCAGGUAGAGUGUCUUAGGAACCUAGGAAAUAACUCGGAACCUGUAACGUCCCACUGGUUUGGACAUAUUCCUCUCCUGAUCUGGCCUCAUCUGUUCCAGGGAGGUGGGAUUGAACAAAGUCUUGCUCUGUCACCCAGGCUGGAGUGCAGUGGCGCAAUCACGGCUCUCUGCAGCCUCGACCCCCGGGGCUCAAGCUAUUCUCCUGCCUCACCCUCCUGAGUAGAUAGGACUACAGGCACGUGCGGCUAUGCCUAGCUAAUUUUUUAAAUCUUAAGUAGAGACAUUGUCUCACUGUGUUGCCCAGACUGGUCUUGAACUCCUAGGUUGAAGGGAUCUUCCAGCCUCUGCCUCCCGAAGUGCUGUAUUACAGAACAUAUGCAGUAAUGUCACCUCAAAAGAGAGUUAAGAACGUCCAGGCACAAAACAGGACUUCACAAGGUAGUAGUAGUUUUCAGACCACGCUUUCAGCCUGGAAAGUAAAACAGGAUCCAAGCAACUCGAAGAACAUCUCAAAACAUGGACAAAACAAUCCAGUGGGAGAUUAUGAACAUGCUGAUGAUCAAGCUGAAGAAGAUGCUUUGCAAAUGGCAGUGGGAUAUUUUGAGAAA